rnacentral:rRNA from 1 species
UACGGGGGGGGCAAGCGUUGUUCGGAAUUACUGGGCGUAAAGGGCGCGUAGGCGGCCCUCUAAGUCGAACGUGAAAUCCCCGGGCUCAACCUGGGAACUGCAUCCGAUACUGGAUGGCUUGAAUUCGGGAGAGGGAUGCAGAAUUCCAGGUGUAGCGGUGAAAUGCGUAGAUAUCUGGAGGAAUACCGGUGGCGAAGGCGGCAUCCUGGACCGACAUUGACGCUGAACGGCGAAAGCUAGGGGAGCAAACGGG